rnacentral:rRNA from 1 species
GCGGCGGACGGGUGAGUAAUGCCUAGGAAUCUGCCUGGUAGUGGGGGACAACGUUUCGAAAGGAACGCUAAUACCGCAUACGUCCUACGGGAGAAAGUGGGGGAUCUUCGGACCUCGCGCUAUCAGAUGAGCCUAGGUCGGAUUAGCUAGUUGGUGAGGUAAAGGCUCACCAAGGCGACGAUCCGUAACUGGUCUGAGAGGAUGAUCAGUCACACUGGAACUGAGACACGGUCCAGACUCCUACGGGAGGCAGCAGUGGGGAAUAUUGGACAAUGGGCGAAAGCCUGAUCCAGCCAUGCCGCGUGUGUGAAGAAGGUCUUCGGAUUGUAAAGCACUUUAAGUUGGGAGGAAGGGCAGUAAGCUAAUACCUUGCUGUUUUGACGUUACCGACAGAAUAAGCACCGGCUAACUUCGUGCCAGCAGCCGCGGUAAUACGAAGGGUGCAAGCGUUAAUCGGAAUUACUGGGCGUAAAGCGCGCGUAGGUGGUUCGUUAAGUUGGAUGUGAAAGCCCCGGGGCUCAACCUGGGAACUGCAUCCAAAACUGGCGAGCUAGAGUAUGGCAGAGGG